GACGAACGCUGGCGGCGUGCUUAACACAUGCAAGUCGAACGGAAAGGCCCUGCUUUUGUGGGGUGCUCGAGUGGCGAACGGGUGAGUAACACGUGAGUAACCUGCCCUUGACUUUGGGAUAACUUCAGGAAACUGGGGCUAAUACCGGAUAGGAGCUCCUGCUGCAUGGUGGGGGUUGGAAAGUUUCGGCGGUUGGGGAUGGACUCGCAGCUUAUCAGCUUGUUGGUGGGGUAGUGGCUUACCAAGGCUUUGACGGGUAGCCGGCCUGAGAGGGUGACCGGCCACAUUGGGACUGAGAUACGGCCCAGACUCCUACGGGAGGCAGCAGUGGGGAAUAUUGCACAAUGGGCGGAAGCCUGAUGCAGCAACGCCGCGUGCGGGAUGACGGCCUUCGGGUUGUAAACCGCUUUCGCCUGUGACGAAGCGUGAGUGACGGUAGUGGGUAAAGAAGCACCGGCUAACUACGUG
rnacentral:rRNA from 1 species